ensembl:lncRNA
CACAUCAGAGUGUUGAGAAAUGGGAAAAGUUGCAAAAUAUCAAAUAAGUAAAUAAAUAAAGGUUUCUGACAACUCCAAAACUGAACAUAAUAUGAGGGCUAAAAAAAAACACCAUCACGCUGCUUAUCCUUAAAGCAUUUUAAAAUCUCAAAGGGUACAUUUUUGAUUAAAGAUAACUGAGCCCUACUACUCGUAAUGGAAGAAAAAUAAAUUUGACCAGUACUAUUAUGUUUAAGGCUAAAGUGCUCCUUGUCAUUUACGGUAAGUGGGUCUCCAGCACAGGGCCAAAUCAAUAUGAUCCUAGCUCAGCCAGUCAAAAGCAUUUUUUAAGUUUUACCGUGCAAACCCUUUACGGAAAACAGCAAUACUGGCACACCUUUAUCUGGCGUCCAUGACCUUUACAAACAUCUCUAAUGUGAUCUGCAUGGUUAUUUAUUGACCAGAUGUCCUUUAUAUUGGUCUUUGCAUGCAUUUUUCACAUAGCUGAUGAAUUGGCAGCCAAAAUGACAACAACAGUUCAACUCCUUUACUUAUUUCUGGCAUUCUAUCCCAUAUCUGAGGGGAUUCGCCUCAAUUGUCCUUUUCCAUUUCUGAAUCAGAAUGCACACCUGGGUUCAGGGAAACCUUGUGCAACGAUGCAAUUGCAGACCAAGUUGCCUUGUCCCAGUGUGAACCUGUCCGUAAGUGAAAAUGUGCGACUGAAUCCUGCAAAAUGGCAUCUGGAGAGUCUGUCACUGAAGGUGGAAAAAACCUGCAGUAUCAUGGUGUUUCAACAAGACAAAGAAAGCCAACAUUUUCCUGGAGGAUUCUAUUCAAACAUUGAUAUAAAUUCAAUCAAUACUCAGAAAGAAUUUUUGUGUAUUUGUCCAAAAUUGCACAAUAGAUACAAACGUGCUCCCAGAGCUCGUGAUUUUAAUAAAAAACAUCUAGUGGAUAGUCCUAAAUCUCCAUGUGACACAGAAUAUUGGAAGGAGAAGUGGGAUGAUUCAAUGAAUUACAGAAAAAAAUGUGUGAACAAGAAUACAAAGUUUCACGAACCAGAGACACAGUCCUUCAUGGCAAGACAAGAUUUCAGUGAUAUCAGUAAAAUAUUCACACGUGACCCUGAAUAUGAAAUUAAAGCUCAUAAUAACAUUUUAUACAGAAGCAAGAACAAAAUGUAUAUUUAUGAUGUCAAAUUAGAAAAUGGAGUUCCAAAAGUUUGUCAAAGAUGUGAUUAUGUUGUGGCUGCCCUUGACAACAAUGGCAACCCAGUUCAUUAUGAAGCAGUUACAAAAUAUAUUGCUAAACAGUUUCCACAGGAAAAUUUGGAAACUGAAAGAACACUCAAAAAAACUGAUGCACCUCAAGGAUUAAAAUCAGCAUCCAUGACCACGAUCAAAGAACUGUCAGACAUACCUGAGAUCGAAGAAUGCAUGACUGAGGUCAAAGAUGAUGUGACUGAAGUCAAAGAUGAUGCAACUAAGUUUCAAAGUGGUGCAGGCAGAGGUGUUGUGGCUGGAGGUGUUGUGGUUGGAGGUGUUGUGGCCGAAAGUGUCAUGACUGCAGCCGGAGGUGGCGCGACUGCAGCCGGAGGUGGUGUGGCCGGAGGUGGCACAGCUGCAGCCGGAGGUGGUGUCACCGGAGGUGUCAUGACUGCAGCCGGAGGUGGCACAGCUGCAGCCGGAGGUGGUGUCGCCGGAGGUGUCUUGACUGCAGCCGGAGGUGGCACAGCUGCAGCCGGAGGUGGUGUCGCCGGAGGUGUCUUGACUGCAGCCGGAGGUGGCACAGCUGCAGCCGGAGGUGGUGUCGCCGGAGG